AGUGAACGCUGGCGGUAGGCCUAACACAUGCAAGUCGAACGGCAGCACAGUAAGAGCUUGCUCUUACGGGUGGCGAGUGGCGGACGGGUGAGGAAUACAUCGGAAUCUACUUUUUCGUGGGGGAUCACGUAGGGAAACUUACGCUAAUACCGCAUACGACCUACGGGUGAAAGCAGGGGAUCUUCGCACCUUGCGCGAUUGAAUGAGCCGAUGUCGGAUUAGCUAGUUGGCGGGGUAAAGGCCCACCAAGGCGGCGAUCCGUAGCUGGUGUGAGAGGAUGAUCAGCCACACUGGAACUGAGACACGGUCCAGACUCCUACGGGAGGCAGCAGUGGGGAAUAUUGGACAAUGGGCGCAAGCCUGAUCCAGCCAUACCGCGUGGGUGAAGAAGGCCUUCGGGUUGUAAAGCCCUUUUGUUGGGAAAGAAAAGCAGCAGGUUAAUACCCCGCUGUUCUGACGGUACCCAAAGAAUAAGCACCGGCUAACUUCGUG
rnacentral:rRNA from 1 species